UACGUAGGGUGCAAGCGUUGUCCGGAAUUAUUGGGCGUAAAGAGCUCGUAGGCGGUCUGUCGCGUCUGCUGUGAAAACUCAGGGCUUAACCCUGAGCUUGCAGUGGGUACGGGCAGACUAGAGUGCGGUAGGGGAGACUGGAAUUCCUGGUGUAGCGGUGAAAUGCGCAGAUAUCAGGAGGAACACCGGUGGCGAAGGCGGGUCUCUGGGCCGUAACUGAC
rnacentral:rRNA from 1 species